CAGUGUUACAGCUCUUCUAGAAUUUGUCUAGCAGGUUUUCUGGUCUCCGUUGUAAGACCCCA
rnacentral:snRNA from 1 species